rnacentral:lncRNA from 1 species
GCUCUCCAGGAAAAAUGAGUUUUACUCCUAUGAGCCAUCUUCUGAGAACCCUUCCCCAGAAUCAGAACCUGUGUGUCUCCAGCUUAAAUCGGGCGCUCAUCUCUGCAGGGUUUGUGGCUGUUUAGGCCCCAAAACUUGUUCCAGAUGCCACCAAGCACACUACUGCAGUAAGGAGCAUCAGACCUAGACUGGAGGUUGGAGCACAAGCAGCCUUGUACCCAAGGUCAUUUGGAUCAUACAGAUCCAGGCCACAACUCCUUUUUUCUGAAUUCGAAAUUGUCAUAGAAACAGAGGAGGAGAUUGUGCCUUAAGUUGUGGAAAAGGAAGAAGACUCUGAGAUCACAGGAAGCAUGGAUGAAGCUCUUGAGGGCGAACUGGAUUCCAUGGCAAAGCACGAAUCCAGGGAAGAUAAUAUUUUCCAGAAGUUCAAAGCUCAGAUAGCCCUUGAACCACAGUAGGUCAUGCCACAGCUGCUGAACCACCUCAAGGCAGACAGACACACCGGGCAGAAGUGUUGACUGGGGCAUCCUGGCUGUCUUCACCUGCGCCGGAAACUGUAGCUUGGGCACUGGCUACACAGAGGAAUUCGUGUGGGAGCAGGAUGUAACAGAUACACCUUUCAGACAUCUUCAAGCCCUAAAAAAGGUUACUAACAUCUUACGUCCUUGCAAUUCCAUCUCUGACUUUAUCCUAAGAAAGUAUCAGAGAUGGAGGAACAAAGAUGUGGCUUGGGGCCUUGUUUAGUGUCUUAAAUAUACUAAAACAAUGUCCAAUAAUGGAAUUACAUGAAUUUUGGUACAUCCAAGUGAAAGGUUAUUAAUGAUACACACUUAACACGGAUACCAAAUGAGCGGGAGAUCUAAAUUAACACUAAGAGACCAUUAUAUCAUGGUAUGUGUUUUUGUAAAAAUAUUUAUAUAUGUAUAUGUGCAUAAAUAUAAAUCUGAAUAUAAAUAUAAAGCUGCACACCAACUAUAAACUGGUUUACCUAUGAAUGGUAGGACUAAGUGAAAUACUCUUUUUACUAUGUACUAUUCUUGCAUAAUAA